rnacentral:rRNA from 1 species
AGUGAACGCUGGCGGUAGGCCUAACACAUGCAAGUCGAACGGCAGCACAGUAAGAGCUUGCUCUUACGGGUGGCGAGUGGCGGACGGGUGAGGAAUACAUCGGAAUCUACUUUUUCGUGGGGGAUAACGUAGGGAAACUUACGCUAAUACCGCAUACGACCUACGGGUGAAAGCAGGGGAUCUUCGGACCUUGCGCGAUUGAAUGAGCCGAUGUCGGAUUAGCUAGUUGGCGGGGUAAAGGCCCACCAAGGCGACGAUCCGUAGCUGGUCUGAGAGGAUGAUCGGCCACACUGGAACUGAGACACGGUCCAGACUCCUACGGGAGGCAGCAGUGGGGAAUAUUGGACAAUGGGCGCAAGCCUGAUCCAGCCACACCGCGUGGGUGAAGAAGGCCUUCGGGUUGUAAAGCCCUUUUGUUGGGAAAGAAAAGCAGCAGGUUAAUACCCCGCUGUUCUGACGGUACCCAAAGAAUAAGCACCGGCUAACUUCGUG